GACGAACGCUGGCGGCGUGCUUAACACAUGCAAGUCGAACGCUGAAGACCUGGCUUUUGUUGGGUUGGAUGAGUGGCGAACGGGUGAGUAACACGUGAGUAACCUGCCCUCUUCUUUGGGAUAACGCCCGGAAACGGGUGCUAAUACUGGAUAUUCACUGAUCUUCGCAUGGGGGUUGGUGGAAAGGUUUGUUCUGGUGGGGGAUGGGCUCGCGGCCUAUCAGCUUGUUGGUGGGGUGAUGGCCUACCAAGGCUUUGACGGGUAGCCGGCCUGAGAGGGUGACCGGUAACAUUGGGACUGGGAUACGGCCCAGACUCCUACGGGAGGCAGCAGUGGGGAAUAUUGCACAAUGGGCGAAAGCCUGAUGCAGCGACGCCGCGUGAGGGAUGGAGGCCUUCGGGUUGUAAACCUCUUUCGCUCAUGGUCAAGCCGCAACUGUGGGUUGUGGUGAGGGUAGUGGGUAAAGAAGCGCCGGCUAACUACGUG
rnacentral:rRNA from 1 species